rnacentral:lncRNA from 1 species
AGCUGCUUCCGGCCGCUGGUCGCAGGGCUGCGGGACUACAAUCUUCGCAUGAAAUGGAAGAGAGGGUGGUGCGGAUAGCUUGAGGAAGGUACGGAUACCUUGAGGGAGGAACACUACAAGGCCUGUUAGAGAAGAAAGGGUAGAAUCCCGAGAAUGUUUUCCCCACAGUGCUGAUAAGGAGAGACCACUAUCCCAUCUACUGCUACAGCUCUGGAGACAGAGCUCUCCCACCUGUCAUAUAGAACACAAGGACCAAUCUGCAGAGAAAGAGCAUCCAAACCUGAUCCAGUGGACACUGGGGAAAAACUCACCACAGCUGAGUGUGGAAAAACAAGGCCAACACACACAUCUCUGCACAGAUACAUCUCCCAUAAAGAAACUAAAGUGUUAAUUUACAGGGCACUGUUGCAGACCCACUUCAGCUGGAAGCUAGGAACAUGGACAAGGAGCCUCUCUACCACCAAGGGAGAGAGAGGAAUGUGCUCUUGUCCUGGCAUUGCAUCCACAGGAGGGGCAGGAAAUUCUUUGAAGUUCGUUUUCAUAGAAUUCUUCAUACCUGUUUCUAUGAGGAAUGAACUGGAUGUGUUUGAAGACAAGCUGAAGAGCUACGUUACCUCUGUGAACAAAGUGGGGAUGCUGGCUCCAUUAACCCUGCAGGUGAAAAAGCUGAUCAACCCCAGGUCAUAUUUUGUAAACAUGUUUAAGGCUAAAUUAAAAUUUGAACAUGCUCUAAGAA